CGUAGGGUGCAAGCGUUAAUCGGAAUUACUGGGCGUAAAGCGUGCGCAGGCGGUUUUGUAAGUCUGAUGUGAAAUCCCCGGGCUCAACCUGGGAAUUGCAUUGGAGACUGCAAGGCUAGAAUCUGGCAGAGGGGGGUAGAAUUCCACGUGUAGCAGUGAAAUGGCGUAGAUAUGUGGAGGAACACCGAUGGCGAAGGCAGCCCCCUGGGUCAAGAUUGACGCUCAUGCACGAAAGCGUGGGGAGCAAACAGGAUUAGAUACCCUGGUAGUCCACGCCCUAAACGAUGUCUACUAGUUGUCGGGUCUUAAUUGACUUGGUAACGCAGCUAACGCGUGAAGUAGACCGCCUGGGGAGUACGGUCGCAAGAUUA
rnacentral:rRNA from 1 species